CGUACUGCAUGACAGACAAAGAAAAAAAGGUCAGAAGGCCAGUCGUAACCGGAGGUUAGAAUGGGGGAAGGUCCAGCACAUGGAACUGGGCAGUGCUAAAUCUAUGGAUUUCAAAUAAACAGGACCCAAAAAAAAAAAAAAAAAAAAAAGGAGGGGAGAGGGUGAAGAUCUGUAAAAAUACAUUUCCCCAAUAGGCCCUCAAAACGGAUUAAUUCUGGAUCCUUGAAAAGCAUCCUUGUGGAGGGAAGUAGGUAAAAGCAGCGUAGGUUGCUUUGGAGUGACGCUCAAAAUAAACACGUUGCUGAAAAGUUUCCUGCUUCAAUAUGUCUCCACAGCAAAAGUUAAAAUGAGGACACCUAUUAUUAACACGGGGAUUAACACAGGCUCCUGGUUUAAGCACAAUCUGAAAAUUGGGAAUUCCCAUGUGGAGGAAAAACGUGAGUUAAAGCAGUUAGUUAAUUUUAAGAUAUCCUGUUUUAAACCUUCCGACUGUUAAGAAGGAAAGUACACAAGUAUCAAUGAUCUGAUGUUGUCCAAAGUUUAAUAACAAAAGAGUCGAUUUUUGGUUUACAGCUAUUAUGUACAAGCUACUUCAUUGUCGAUUUGCUGCAGAUGUGUGCAUGUGCUACUGAAAGUUUUGAAUUUUAAGUAUAUUCUUUGUUAAACAUUAAAAACCGAAAGUUAAAGUGGCACUUAAGGAUAAGAGGAAACUGCCACUUUUAAUCUAUUAAAAGCAAAAGUGUGAAUAAAUUGUUUUUAAAAACUCUGACAAUUGCUUGAACUGAAAGAGUAAAGGCAAGUUUGUCAGUACAGCAACUUUCUUUUACAAACUGUACUUUGAGGGACAGUACACAAAUUAUUGCAAGCAAACUUAAUUUUAUGUCGUUUUUCUUUUAAAAACUCUAUUCAUUACAUGGUAAUUGUCCCUCACAAUAUUUUCAUCGCAUCUCAAUGUAUCUGAUAAGUCUAGAAAAAAUAAUAAUAGUAAAAAAUAGUAAUAAAUAGUCAUAAUAUCUGUGAAAAUUAUUUCUGCCAAUUCAAAUUUAAAUAUGCAACUAUUUUUAAAUGAACGUCUGACUACAGCACUUGCACAUUUGUGAUGGCAAAAAGUUAUGUUUACUUAAAGUUUAAUAAGUUAUCUUUGAAAAGUGAAGAUGUAUGUCAUCACUAACGUUAAAUGCUAAAUUAAAAUGUUCAAAGACACCUUAGUUAAAUAUUUUAAACGCUGGUGACUUUAAAACGACAUUGUAUUCUUAGCAGUAUAGCUGUAAUACUGAUAAAUAGAAACACUUGUAUUUUCAGUUACAUGCCUGUAUAUCAUUACUUUAUAGAAAGUUUGCCUCUUCCGUGAGGUGUCUGUGAUAGGAAUUGAUAGAAUCAAGAAAUUGACAAUAUAUAUAUAUAGGUUUGAGCCAAAGAAGAGGUGGGAAAAAACUUUUUCGCAGCGUCUCUGUCAGCCACGUUUCAAUAUUAUUUCACAUUUAAAUUCCAUUUUUUUAAUACGUACCCUUUGCGCCAUCGGCCUGGCUUGCUCCCUUCCUACUUCAACUUCUAAUAUAUCCUCUUUAAGGCCAGUGUGAAAAGAAACAAACGCGAACUCUCCCCCAAACCCCCAAAAAUGCAAAAAUCCCUUAGAGUCGCCAGCAAUGUGAGCAAUCGAGGAAAAUCUUCAGCUUACUGGAUCUCAAAGAAACGACACAAUAAUUCAGCAUUAAAAAAAAGAGAGAGAGAGAGACUCGCCCUCCUUCUCUUUCUUUCUCUCUCUCACUCUCCCCCUUUCGUUUCCAAGACAGCAGCGGGGAGAAAGCAAAUAUCCUUUCCCCAAUCAGUUUUUUUUUUUUUUUUGGUUUAAAAAAAAAAAGUGCCCCUCAAACCCAACUACCAAGUCUCAUGGCUUUUUGCCACUCCAGCUGUCAAUCAAAGGCGAGGUUGUCAAGGUGGUGAAUGAAUGAUGAUGAUCCGCUGUGUGUACUUCCACUGCUCUGGACACCUCAAAUGUUAAUAUUCAAAUGCAUGGAGGUCUAAGCGCUGGCUUGUUCUUGAAUCAGUCCUAAUUCCUAAUCAGAUCUCGCUCGCGCGCUCCCUUUCCCCCUUUGCAGCGGGAGAGGCUAGAGGAAGAGGGUUAAAAAUGUCUGUCUGAGUUUGUCUUAAAGGAGCCACGAUCGAUGCUGCCUGCUGCAAGUCCCCCGUGCGUGUGUAAAGUGUGUGUUGCACAGGCGGAGAGGUGGAUUUGGACCAGAAUGCUGGAACCCGGAAGUAGUGGUGGCCAUAACAGGUCGCGUCUUACACAAUGCACUGGGCUGCAUCAACUCGGCUCCUAGCGCAGGGGUGGGUUGGGUGAGAUGCAAGCAAAGAGGCUGUGCGAGCCACAGAAGCGUUCAAUUAACAACACACACACACACACACACACAGGGUUAGUUACUAAAAUAGAUUGUAAUUCUGGUGUGUGGCUGGGCUCUUAGCUAUUUUAAGAGCUCCCUGUAAGCAGAGUUCAUUGCUGCCGGCCAAAUUAUGGGGUAUUGCAGGGUUGGGUGGUUUUUUGUUUGUUUGUUUGUUGGUUGGUUUGUUUUGUAGAGGGCAGGAUUUGUUUCUGUCCCCUUUUCACACCGAAUGCUUUGGGUAAUUGUUUGCAGCCUUUGCCAAGAUCUGAGCUGGCUCACAUGAGUUAUGUGAAGAAGAGAGGAGCAAUGGUUAAAGAGACAACAUCCAUCCUUCUUCCCAGAGCCCUGCAAGCACAUCCAGUACUCCAGCGUUUCUAAGUGUGAGAGCAAAACUAGGAGAUGACCCAGAGCGUCUGCUUCUGGACACUGGCUUGUUUUUAUUGCGAAUACUGUUACCGAAGUGAUUGGCAAGACCGAGGGCAGGAAGACAGAACGCAGGAGAGCUGUCUGUUAUAUGUUCUCUCGCGCGCUCAGCUCGUGUCAUACGCAGCAAUCCACGCCACUUCUGCCUAGCCGCCUCGGAGUGAAAUGGCCAUUUCCUUUGUCUAAUAGCAAUGGUUACUUUGUAUUUACACCCUCGCUAUACGGCAGCGCUCUAAAGGAUCAGCAAUCUCUUCCCCCCCUCUCCCUCCACCGGAGGACUUUCAUUCUUUUUUGUAUCCAGAGCAAGCAGUCUUUCCCCCCCAGCUAACUCCCCGCAACGAAAGUAAAUCUAUUAGAGCGAAGUUGAGGUUUAGAAGGAAAGCACCAAAACGCACUUCGGAUGAGCCGGGCUCAUUUGCUAGAAUUUAUUCGGUGCCCAUGUAACUCUGAGCAGAUGUUCCACACAGACAGUAGUUGAUUCAAAUAUGCAACAUCUUUCAGAGCAGAGAUCCGUGAGACGGGCUUUUUUUUAUUCCUCUCUCUCUCUCUCUCUCUCUCUCUCUCUUCCCCCUCCCCCAAGCUCCAAGUCUCUCAGAAAACUCCCCCUGCGGUAUGUUGGAAAAUGAGCUCACCCAAAUCUCAGUAGGCAGCAGUGGAGGAGCCGCAGGCCAAUCAGGAGCUUGUCUUCGAAAGCCAGCCGUGCAUUGGUGGAGGGGAAAAUCAAUUAUCAAAUAAUCGAUCAGCAGGGAGCUUCGAUCUGCGGGGAGUGCCAAAAAACUCUCCCUCGGAACAGAGAGGCUAAGUUCUCCAAAGCAGAAAGAUUGCUCACUUGUUCUGCUUAGCCAUAGUACAAGCUGCUGCCUAGGGGCAGACAUAAACAUACCCUGCAAGGGGAAUAAAAGACACCCUUCACUCUCUCUCUUUCUCUCUCUAUAUAUACAGGGAGAGAGAGAGAGAGAGAGAGAAAAGUACUUUUAAAAAGUUAAGGUACGAUAUAUUUAUGUCAACACGAUGUUACGGAGCUUGAUAUGUGAACUCAGCAGGCUGACAGCUUAUACUGACACAGCAAGGCAUUCAGUGCCAGCGUUUACUGUUUACAACACACACGUUUGUGAACUCGAGGCAUCUUCAGCAGUGUUCCUUGCAUGCAGUGGUCCAUACACGUCAUGUAAUGACCGUACUUUUGAUUGUUUGGGGUAAGGACGAUCACUUUUUCCUGUGGCAUUACAGCUGCAACUUUUGACUUAACAGCAGAACCUGAAAUAGUAAGAACGAUCACUAAGAAGUGGUCUUCUCGUUAGUGUUUACCGGGAAAUAGUCUGAUUUCUUUCAAUUUCUCGAUUAAAAAAAAAGAACUCUAUGCUUAUGAUUUAUUAUUAUGGCAAUUUUAUGUUUGCUUUUGGGAUGCUCAGGCAGUAAGUCUUAAACAGAGAUAAAUCACAUACGAUUUCUGCCAGGCCAAAGUCUGAAAUGUAAUGUUAACAGACGGAAUUCCCAGCAUCAACAUAAUCCCUGCCUGCGAUCUAAAUCUUCUCUUAAAGUAUAUUUUAGGGGGCAAAACAGAUUUAAACUCACUUUAAAAAACAAACCAGAACCAAGGACUUUUCUGAAGCUGUAAUUGCAGCGACGACGCAAAAUAAAACAGUAUUUUUAUAGGGAUUGCUAUUGAGAGAGCUCUAGUAUUCCCUAAACCGUCUCUUUUCUCUGCAGGAGAGUGCAGUUGUUUCAUAUUCUACCUGUGUGAUUAUUCAAAUGAUCCGCCGGCUAGGUGUUUCAAAUUUGUCUCAGAAAGGAAAGAUCUGUCAUCGAUCAGAUCAGUUCAGUAGGGUGGGAAAAAAGUGCCAAAUCAAACAUUAAAAUAUUCACACAUAGGGCUCAACGAUCCUUAAAUGAGCUGCAUGGGGCGGGUUAUCCGAGUAAAAUCUACAAAAUAGAAAUUACUGUGAAAUGCACUUGGGUAAAGCUGCUUUUUAACAGCUUUGAGGGACCAUGGAGGAGACAGAUCAGAACAAUUUGAAGCGUGCAGAUACUCUUUAGUCCAUCUCUUGCCGUGACAUUUCAAACCUCAAGAAAACCAGUUUCGAUUUCCCCCCCCCCUUUGCUGUAGGACAAACCUUCUAUGCCAGCGAUGAAUAUAAAGACUUUUCAGGUAAGACUAUUUUAAUACCCUAACCCUUCCUCUUCUCAGUAUUGGGAAGUAUUUGUUGUGCUCUUAACAGACGUAUGUUUGAUUUCUAUAUUUAUUUAACUCAGAGACUGAAUUCAGAAGCGAUUCCCUGUCUUACAGGUUCCUUUCAAAGGAGGAUACAGUUUAAAUUCCAGAAAUGCAAUGCCUCUUAAAAAUAAAAAAGCUUUAAACCUUAAAUCUAGCGUCACUACCAGGCCUUUAUGAGAAUAAUUCAGAACAAUCGGGGCUAGAACACUUUUACAAUGUAAUUACAGUAGUACAAAUUGUUUGCCCAAACCUCAUUCUGGAUAAGGAUUUUACAAUUAGCAAACAGUUAUUACUGUUGGGGCUUGCUGCGAGAAAUUGCACUGAGGACGUCUCGAGUUGCAAUCUACUGGCCAUAAAAAGACUAACCAGGCAGCAAUUAAUCAUCUAUUAAAAGGGAAAAGUAAACGGACAGUUCCACACUAUCUUAGUAAACUACCAACGACAUUUAUGUGUUCUGUGACUACAGCGACGCACACAUUCCCAACUACUGCCUUUUUAGGAAAUGUAGCUAUUUUUUGCCAAAACUAGGGGUCUGAUUGCUAUUUGUUCCGGGAACCCAUUUACACUUGCCAUUGUACUAUGGAAAAGAAGCUGUGGGCGUCCCUCGAAUUUUACAGCGAAAUGUGCAAUUAGACAGAAAAUAGGCAGAAUUGCGUACUGGAUGUAGAUCUGACUUUCGCUUUUUCCUUGUAACUGUGUUUAACAGAUUUAGCAUUUAAGAAGACGUGUUUUGCUUUGGAGCCUUGUCUGCACUACUUCUGUGAUGCCACGCCGACAAUCAUUUUACUUAUUCUUCACCUCAGAAUUUGCAAUUUGAACUUGUAUAAGCGAAGGCCUUUCACAUGAGGUAGAAGGAGAGGUCUCAAAGUUCAGAUGAUGAUUCAGAGCAAAAUGAUGAAGAAAGUCCUCCAUUAAGUGGAAUUUGUAUAUAUUUGCUUAUCAUGUAAUAAAUAAGACUUUAAAUCAGUCUGCAUUUCCUAGCUUAAGUACAUAAUUAAUUUUACCUAAUAGCAUUAAAAUGAGUACUAGUUUUCUGAUAACUUUUUAUAGUUUGACGGGAAGGGGCUUGCAGUUGGGAAAAAAUCAACAACAAUACAUACUCCUUCCCCAUUAAUAUUUACAUUUAAAAAUUCAAAUAAGGUCAAAAUCCCCGAAGAAAACAGAUUUUAAAUGCAGUAGAGAGAUAAUAAAGGAAUGUGGCAGAUAAGAGUUUCAAGUGAUAUGAGUCAAGAUACCAAAAAGUCAAAGCCUAAUGAAUGGCUGUGAGAAAGGUGAAGAACUAUUUAAAGAUCUAUUAAAGGGCAAAAUCUGAAAAGGUGAUAAUAAAAGGAGGUUAACUGGAGGGGAUUAAGUGAAGAUGUGAAUCAAGUGCCCAUGUGCAAGUAAAACUGUGGUUCAUGGAGGUUUGUUUACUGGAUUCUGCUUCAGAAAACAAAGAACGCCUGGUCCAGUUAGGAGUCAACCAGAGGUCAGCUUGUGCUAUCCAACAGUCAGAGACAAAAUAGUCAAGUCACUGUAUUCAGUAAACAGUCUGAAUGAAUAAUGGUAGAAAUGCACUUUGCGAAGGAAAGAACUGAUUUCAUUAGACUUUUCUAUUUCAGCUCUUUAGAGUAGCAUGGUACUUGAGGGGAGGAGUAAAAUGAAGGAGGGGGGGCACUACACUAUUUAACAUAAUUACCAGUUCUGACACUUUCAGAAAUUAUAGAGGUCUUUUAUUAAUUAAAUGGCGGGCUUAAUAAAAUAUUCAUAAUAAAAUUUACGGUUGACGUAAAACUUUCUAAACACUGCUGUAAAUUUUUAAUAAAUUAACUGAGAAAUGAGUUACUAGCCUUGGCUUUUGUCACUUAAACUUCUGCAUAAGUAGUGAAUGUAGAGUGACAGCAACGUGGGAACCUUUCAGAACCAAAAAUGUGUACAAUUACAAAGGGUUUUAGAUCUCGGAAAAGUCGCCCUCAGAUCUAGAGGAGAGUUGUCCAAGCUGAGGUUUCUCCCUCAUCCUUCCCUGCAAGAGAGCAGAGUGUACACCAUGCGCGCCUCAUCGUCCCAGAACACAGGGCCAGUCCUAGCCUGGGGACACAAGGAUUUCAGCAGCAUUUUUCCCUACGGGGCGGACUAAUUGUACAGAACCCCACCCCCUUUCAUUCCUCCCCACUUACUUGAGCACACGCAGCUGCAGUCACCCUUGUGGCUUGGAAGGAAAGGCGGCCUCCUGCACCAAGGCUGCAAGGCCAGUUCCCCAAGGCAGCAGCUGCGAGAGGGAGGGGGGCAGGCGGUGAAAGCUGCACUUUCCUCUGAGCAGAGUAGUGUUCCCUCUGAGGGGCCCCCAGCCCCAGGAGCCGGCUCCCAAGCCCUGGGCCUCCCGCAUGGAAGCAAUGUUGCCUCCUCCAUAGCCACUAAGCCAUCCGGGCAGGCAAGGUUUGCAGUUUUAACUCUGGCUAUUAAACCACGUUGUCCUUGUUAUAGUUCAAGGGGCCAGAUCCAUGUGUAGGAAUCAACUGUUAGCACCAAGCACAGAGGCUUACAGCAAGAGAUUUCAAAGGCGUGAUUUAGUUUGUGAUUAAGAAAACACCACAAGAUAACAGUGAUGAUUGUUUCAUUUAAAAAUCACAAAAAGCCCUGUCAUUCAGCGGGUGAGAAAGGGUAACAGAAUGGGAAGAUUCUACAAAGAAACACCUCGGAAGUGUGUUCGCUUUCAGUUUACUCUAUUGUAGACUAUUCAGUUUACCUAUAAUAUUUUACUCUGGUUAUGCUGGCUUCAUUCAAAAAGUAUUAUAAUUGCAUUUUACAGAAAACAUUCACUAUCUGUUUCUAACCCUAGACUUAGAAACUGAGCCAAGCCAGGAAGCAUAGAUCUCAGAUCAGAGCUAUAUUCAAACUUCCCAAAAUCUGGAAGUGGACAGAUCUACUUGGAAUCAUAGAAAUACCUAUUAGAGCAACCAGCUCAACUCCCUGCUAAUGCAGGAUUGUUUCCCAGCAUUUACUAGUGCUUUGUCCAGUCACUUAUUAAAUAGUCUGCUGAUGAGGUUUUCAUCACUUCCUGAGGGAGAUUAUUCCCCAACCUGUUUUAGGCUCAGAUUAUUAAAAGCUAUUUAGGCACUGUUGUGCUCAGCACCACAACACCUAACUGAGUGAGAAGCCUAAAUAUCAUGUUCAAAAGGGAUUUAGGUGCUUAGGAGUCUAAAUUCCAUCUACAAUGGCAUUUAGACUCCUAAGUACCUAAAUACCUUUUGAACAUGAUAUUUAGGCUCUUACGCCUAAAUACCUUUACAAAUCUGGGCCAGACUGUCAGGAAGACUUUACUUCUAACUACUCUCCCUUUUACCACCCUAGGCAUACACCUCCUCACACCCUUCCAAUAUUUAUAGAUGGUUUCCAGUCCCCACUUUGGCUGGUUUUUAGGACCAAAUUAGGUUUCCUCCUCCAGCUCCCUAAUUAUUUUUGGCCCUGUUUCUGUCAGAAAACUACCAAGUUUGACAAUGUCUGUCAAAUUCAAUGGUGGCCUAAUCUUAUAGCUACAGAUGGGCCUGAACUAUAACUGCCCAGCUAUCAUCAAUGGGGUCAACCUGUGUUAAUCAGUUUUUAAUCAAAAUGUGUUUUAGGGUCUGUCAUAAAUAUAAAGGGAAGGGUAAACACCUUUAAAAUCCCUCCUGUGGGCAGAGGAAAAACCCUUUCACCUGUAAAGGGUUAAGAA